AGAAAGCUUGCUUUCUUGCUGACGAGUGGCGGACGGGUGAGUAAUGCUUGGGAAUCUGGCUUAUGGAGGGGGAUAACGACGGGAAACUGUCGCUAAUACCGCGUAUUAUCGGAAGAUGAAAGUGCGGGACUGAGAGGCCGCAUGCCAUAGGAUGAGCCCAAGUGGGAUUAGGUAGUUGGUGGGGUAAAGGCCUACCAAGCCAGCGAUCUCUAGCUGGUCUGAGAGGAUGACCAGCCACACUGGAACUGAGACACGGUCCAGACUCCUACGGGAGGCAGCAGUGGGGAAUAUUGCGCAAUGGGGGGAACCCUGACGCAGCCAUGCCGCGUGAAUGAAGAAGGCCUUCGGGUUGUAAAGUUCUUUCGGUAUUGAGGAAGGUUGAUGUGUUAAUAGCACAUCAAAUUGACGUUAAAUACAGAAGAAGCACCGGCUAACUCCGUGCCAGCAGCCGCGGUAAUACGGAGGGUGCGAGCGUUAAUCGGAAUAACUGGGCGUAAAGGGCACGCAGGCGGUUAUUUAAGUGAGGUGUGAAAGCCCCGGGCUUAACCUGGGAAUUGCAUUUCAGACUGGGUAACUAGAGUACUUUAGGGAGGGGUAGAAUUCCACGUGUAGCGGUGAAAUGCGUGGAGAUGUGGAGGAAUACCGAAGGCGAAGGCAGCCCCUUGGGAAUGUACUGACGCUCAUGUGCGAAAGCGUGGGGAGCAAACAGGAUUAGAUACCCUGGUAGUCCACGCUGUAAACGCUGUCGAUUUGGGGGUUGGGGUUUAACUCUGG
rnacentral:rRNA from 1 species